CCUACGGGGGGCUGCAGUGGGGAAUAUUGGACAAUGGGCGAAAGCCUGAUCCAGCCAUGCCGCGUGUGUGAAGAAGGCCUUCGGGUUGUAAAGCACUUUCAGUGGGGAAGAAAGCCUUGGGGCUAAUACCCUCGAGGAAGGACAUCACCCACAGAAGAAGCACCGGCUAACUCCGUGCCAGCAGCCGCGGUAAUACGGAGGGUGCGAGCGUUAAUCGGAAUUACUGGGCGUAAAGCGCGCGUAGGCGGUCUGAUAAGCCGGUUGUGAAAGUCCCGGGCUCAACCUGGGAACGGCAUCCGGAACUGUCAGGCUAGAGUGCAGGAGAGGAAGGUAGAAUUCCCGGUGUAGCGGUGAAAUGCGUAGAGAUCGGGAGGAAUACCAGUGGCGAAGGCGGCCUUCUGGACUGACACUGACGCUGAGGUGCGAAAGCGUGGGUAGCAAACAGGAUUAGAUACCCCGGUAGUC
rnacentral:rRNA from 1 species